UAUUGAAGAACUUAGUGUACAAUCUACAUGGUAGCAAUUUGUUCACUGCUUUAUCAUGAUUAAUUUAAAUAAAAGGAUCAACUUGUACAGUUUGAGAGUGCUAAGUUUCAUUAUCCAAAACGUGGUUAGAAGAAAACAAAUCUCGCAAUUUGUAUUGUGUUAUAACAUUCCAACUAUGUCUUCUAUCUAAGCCUAACCCCAUUCUAACCCGUCUUGAGUAUUUGGCACACAACAUGUUCUUAUGCCGCAUAUCAAAGAUUUGUUGUCCUGGCAAAUUGAUUCGACAUAAAUUGUUAGGAAAAAAAAAACAAGGAAUACUCUAAAAUUUUAUUAUACGAAUUAUGUAGCGUUAGCACACAAUUAUUGUUUGUCUGGUUGUUUCAAUAUAGAAUGUUGUUAUUGUUAUUACUCCAUCCUAACUUAUCCCUUUUAACCAUGAGCAAUCAAAUCAAUAAGAGUUAGCUUUAUAUGUGACUAGUGAUAAGUGCAAAAACACUAAUGAAGGAGAAAAAUUAUUCUAACAGUUAUUGGAUGUAAUAAUUACUGAAUGGAAAUAGGGUAACAAUUAUUGGAAAAGUAAAAAAAGACUUGGCACCGUUCAUACAAACUGGUGUUUUAAGUUACAUUUUCCAAUUUGCCUAGAUUUUCACUAUAUGGGAGUUAAUGAAAAGUUAUUGCCCAGUUUUGAAUUGGAGGUGCUUCGUUCUUAAGAUGAUGUUGACAAAGUGGAACUUCCCUAAGAUUGCUAGGUUGCUGAGAAAUUCCCCUAAUUUGAAGAUGUUUGAUAUACACUUAUGUCCUGGCAGUGAUCCUCUUCAUGUUAACAAUGAUCGAUGGCUUAUGGAGUGUGAGAUCGAGGGAGAAAACUUUUGAAAUCUGCAACGGCAGUCUUUUUAUUGUCUUACGAGCUACCUCAAGACUGUCUGCACACAUGGCUUUAGAAUAGAGUCUUGUGCUAUUCAACUAGUGCAGUUCCUGCUCAAAAGUGUUGUGGUUUUGGAAAAAAAUAGUGAUUGUGAUUAAGUGAGUUGUAGAUGUUGAUGAGCAAAACCGUGUCAUGUCAGAGAGAUUGCAGGAAUUUUCCCAAGAGUUAUUGAAUUUUCCAAGAGCAUCUCACCAAGUUGUGAUAUUGUUUUCCUGAAAAAUGUUGUAGCUAACCAAAAUGCUUAUGAUAUGGUCGAUAUAUGUUUGUUUCCUAAAUUGGCCUCAAUAUGAGUUUUACCCUUUUGAAUUGGCAUCUUUUUUAUUAAUACAUUUUACAUUAGUUGGAAAA